GAGACUGUCUGGAGUCUGUCUGAAAUUGAUAAAAUUGGAGAUGGAGUUUUACAUCUGUUUGCACGUUUACAAGGAAGCUGCCGUUUGGAAAUGGGAUUUUUUUGCCUCUCUUCCGCAAACGGCUUCGCCCACGAGUCGCCACGCUUAGCCAAAAAAUAUUUUUUAGAUGAACGCUGUGAAAGUUUUUUCUUCUGCAGUCUGUCAGCAGACAGCUCUUUAUGCACAGGUGAACAGCCGUCAGCCCUAGAGUUCAUGAGGAGUGCACCAUCCAGAAGGCAGCCUGCACCAGCUCAGAAAGGCCUGUCCCAAACCUGAUCCAGUGUCUGACAAAAAUGAGUGGAAUUGCAAUUAGGAAGGACAUCCAUGGUUUCUUGCAGCCUGUCAUGCCUUCAUGUCUUCGACACUGGAGUGUGUCCGCCCAAAUGGUCACACCAUGUCAGGACAAGAUAGAGAACAAUCUAGCUGACACAUAUCUUCGGUUUUCAACUCUGAAACAACAAAGCUCCUGAGAAUUUGUUUGCUUUAGUUCUUCUGAUCUCACGGUGACUCUCUUGGAAGGACUAAUUUAGUUUUUUUUUAAUUUUGUGGCAAGUUUUUGGCUCAUGAUAAUUUUUUGAUUUUGAUACAUUUUCGGACAUUUUAUUUCUAAUGCACAGUAAGUAAUCUUUGGAUUUGAUAUCUGUUUUAUCUCUGUAAAUAUUAUACUCAACAGGCAGUUUCAUGGUGAUGGACAUUGGUGAGUAAUACUCAUCUUUACAGGCAGUUUUCUAGUUUGAGCAGAUGCACAGUAUUUUUUUUAUUUCAUUCUGUUUUGUCUUGAUAAAAGUGUGAUUUUAUAUUUCAGUAAAUUAAAUUAAUGUGCUGUAUGUGUGCAGCUCUUCUCAACGUGGAAUUUCCUCUUAAUUUGUGCUAAUACUGAACUUAAACGUGCAUGAUUUAAUGAAAAAUAUGAGAAAAUUAUAUAAACAUGCGCUCAAGAAGGCCAGACGUUAAAGAAUGCAAAUCUCAGCCAAAAUUUUAGAAGCAGACACUAACCCUGUCCUACAGUACUGAUUUUUUUACUCUUGUACUAUAUAUUGUGCUGGCCUAUUGAUGUGUUAUCAGUAAUUUUGAAUAUAAAAAACCCAAAUGUCAUAAACCAGAUGAGUUUAGAAUUAUUUUAGAUUUAUAUAUAGUUAGGAUGUCAUUUUCGCUAUUUGUUUUCAAAUGGUCAGGUGGUUUAUUUUCUAAUAGAAAUGUUUCUCCGUAGAUGCAGUUAGAUGUUCACAUUACUAUUAUCUAUCACGUCAUGCUUCGUCCUGUACCUCGAGUCUAAGGUUUUGGCCUGAAUCACAACAGAACCCAAUGUGUGAAUUGCUUUGAUGUUGAGCCUGUUCCUCAGGAGUGGGUGUAGUGAUUCCACCAUCAUGGCCGCCACUACCAACCCCGCCCUCUCGCCUGCCACUCAGGAACAGUUAAAAUGGCAGCAUGCAGCAAAAUGAGUGAGAGGGAGAAAGAGAGAGACGCCCACUACUGCGAGCUGAGGCACGGUCGACUGAGCCGCAGCUCGCCUUGUAUGCCAACUCAAACUGAGAUGAUUAUUUUUGGUGUAUUCGGCUGUCUGAGAACAAUGUAGAAUCCAAAGAAGUCUAGACAGGUAGAUUGGGCUGAAAUCAGUGAGGGGUUAACCUCUUUUGUCAGUGCUUUAUCCAAAACCAGGAGUUCACGACGGUGCUCUAUUCCCAGCCACAAUUUGUCUGGAUGUAGAACUAAAAGCCGCCGCAUAUUUCUCUUCUCGUCGAUUGAAUGUUAAAAAAUAAAAUCCUUCCAAACAAAACGAAGUAGCGAAACAAUGGCGACCAUUUUCAUAGUACAAAUGCAGCCAAAAUAGAGAAAACAUCUAUGCUAAAUAUGCUGUUUUUAUGGAUUCACUGUUACCAUUACUACAAUAUAAUGGAAAGUGUUGACAUUUUUGAACUCUUCACCCAGGUCUUUGGCCGGCUGCCAUUUUAUUCUCCAAAUUAUCGGUUGCAGCCUGGCACGGGGAACGGGCACUCACACUUGAUUAUCACAGGAUUUUGCUGCUCUGUAGAAUCUAAGAUUUAAAAACAAUCUAUAAUAUUCAUAUACUGUACAUGUGUUUUAGUUGCAAUAUGUUGCAGUAUGUCUUAGUUUGGGUUGUGGGCACUUUCCAUAGUAUCAUUUGUAUUCUGAAGUGGUACAGUAUUUCAGUGACUAUAUUCAUUUUUAAUGUAGGAAGAACAAAGUGCUAUGAUCAGUGGUCAUUGAAACCCUUUGCUCUUAGUCAAACAGCUCUAUGCAUGUGCUUAUUAUGUCAUCUACUUAAUACCAAUUAGAGGCUAUACGCUACACCAACUCAACGCUGUUUCAAUGAGCUAGAGACCCAUUUGGAAUGGAUCACAGAGCGUAGAUGUGUGUAUCCAGCCUCAAUAAACCGUCUGAAAUUACCCCCAAUCAUUUCAAACCUUUGCAGGUCUGGCUGCCACUUCAUAACAACUCUAUUGCAAGGCAUCCCACAUCCAAACUGCAGUGUGGAGAAUUUUAAGUGCAGAGAGCUGGUGGUGGACUAGGAAGGAAGAUGUCAUGCUAAGGAUGGGUUUUGGUGAUGAUGUUGCUGCUGUUGAUGCAGCAUCGAGCUCUCACUUUGUGCCUCUGUCAGUUAUGAUGCGUAACCACAAAGUGAGUGACAGGCCGGUCCCCGGGGAGAGCAGGGGGCCUGAGGUGAGUCAGAUGUAUCCUUGACCCUGUCGAGCUGUGUCAGCAAGCAACACAAACUCAGUAACAAAGGCCAGAAAUGGCAGGACUGUACAUUGUACAUCUUAAUUUAGUUUAUAGAAGAAGAAGGAUGUAAGAUACACCAAGAAACCUAACAAACUUGCCUGUUUCUGCUCAGGAGAUCUAGUUUUUCAUUGCAUAAACUCCCUCAUCGUAUGAAUUAUGAAAUUAUAAUGCAGCAUAUCACAUUACAGCUUGUAGCUUUGAUACCUUUGCGUGCAUUUGUUUCCUCCAGAGUACUGGGUGUUUUUAGAACCUGUCUCAAACAUGAAGUUGGUACUGAUUUUGGUAGGUAUUCAGCAUUGUUUACUUCAGUGCAUUACAGAUAUAGUAUAAAACACCAAACGCCACUUUAAGAUAUAAAAAGAUGUCAGAGAAAGAUAUUUUUUCCGUGGAAUUUUGUGGAGUCAGAUCUUGUUUUUAAGCUUGUUUAUUAUGAAUUUUGUUUGGUUGCAUACCUAUUUUAGCUCAAAUUUAGCCUACAUUUUAACUUCAUUCAGGGAUUCAGGGAGCAGAAAAGAAGUCGUCUGUAAAUAUUUCAGUACAAGUUCACUUGAGAAUUUAAGAAAACCUUCGUUAGGGUGGUUACUGUACAUGAUACACGGGCAAACAGCCAAAGAAUCAUGAAAGUGUUUCACUGCAACCCUAAGUGUUACAAUACUUGAAAGUGAUCCAACUUUACAGAUGUUAUACUGUGUUAUUAGACUGAGAAACAUUCAUUUUAACAAGCAAUGCCCAGACGGAUAACAUUUUUCCAAUGAGUGUUUAAGAAAACUUUCUUUGUGAAAAAAGUGUUGAAUACAAAAUAUUUGUUUUAUUAUUGCAUUUCUCACCUUGUUUUUGAUUUGCCAUAUAAUUUAUAAUAUCAGGGAAAGAACAUAAAUUUUAAGUGUGAUUCAUUUUACACAGAAAAUAGUUUUAUUACUGUUUCAUUAUAUGUAGUGCUACAACAAUUAGUUGAUGAAAAGAAAAUUAACCUUUCAUGAUUCAGAUUUCUGUCAUUUAACAGGCAAAAAUGUCAAUGUGUUACUGGUUCCAACCUCUAAACUUAAUAUUUGCUCGUUUUGAUCGUUUCUUUGUUUUAUAUCAUUAUAAAUAACAUGUCUUUGGAUUUCUGAAUUUUAAUUUGACAAAACAAGCUAUUUGAAAAUGUCCCUUCAUGCUCAGAAAAAUUUUCUUUUUUCAAUUUUAUAGCCUGAAUGAUCAAUAGACUAAUGAUACAUUUAAACAGAAAACUAUUAGAUAAUCAUAAUGAUUAGUUGCAGGCAAAAUUAUGUUCAGCAUAAAUAAAAAGAGAAAAAUGAACACAAUCUGUCGACAUUUCGCGGGUUAAAAUUAUUAAUACAUUGAGUGAAGAAUAUCUGCUUCCAUUUGCUGAAAAGAAAAGUAUAUAAUGGUUUGUGUUUGUUGUGAGUUUUAAAAGUGCAUGUUGUGAUCUAUUGAAUCUAAGCCACCAGUGUAACUUAUUACAAAUGGUUUCACCAAAGCGUUAGACAAUGUAUAUUAAAUGCAGUCUGAAAAAAAGUCAGUGUCACUGAAAUAUUUAAUGCAACCACUUUCAUUAUCUGAAAUAAACCCUAACUAGUUUUUUUUAUGGACAAUUUUUAACUCUUCAUGAAGAAAUAUUUUCUAUUUUCGAUCAUUACUGUUCCAAAAUUUGUCCAAAAAAGAACAUUUCUUUUUGACACAUGCAUGUUUCAGUCAGUGUAGACAAGAAGUACUGCAGGUCAAACCACAUAAUAAACAACUUUGUGAAAUUUAAUGCAAGAUUUCAUGUUUUAAUUCUAACCCUGAGCAGAAACCGUCCACUAAAGAGCCCAGCUGUGGUCGCUACAUGGGAAAAAGCACAUGGAGAUUUGUUUUUCCUGAAUUUCGUUAAGGGAACAAAAAGAAUCUUUAUUGAAAAGUCUUGCAUCUCUUUACAAGGGUCGCUCAAACACGGUGUGUGAAAUGAGAGUUGCCUGGGUGUGACUUUUGCAGAAAGCAUCCGCUUGCUAUUGUCUGCCUAGUCAACUUCUGCAGGCCCCAGUGCCCUGACUUCCAUACAUGAGAGAUCAAGGGUUACCAAGGUGCUUUUGAGAAAGGAGGGCUCAAUGUGAGAGGGGACAAACCAGUCCACAAAAUACUCAUUUCCUUUGCAUGUUAGGUGCCCUAGUGGGGCUUCAGACGGGGUCACUGACACAGCUACUGGGAUUGAGGGUUUUUUUUUGUUUUUUUUUUCCUCCAUCGGUGUUCCUAAUGAAAACUGUUGCUCGCCUUUUCAUUGGCUUGCGACUGCUAUCUGCAGCCUGUACAGUAUGCAGCUUGAUAAUGUGCUGAGUUUGCCCAAAAGAAAGUUUGUUCAGACUCUGGCUGUUUAUCCGGUGCCAGACAGAGGCACCUCAUGUAGAAAAGGUAAAAGUAAUUCUGUCCACCUCUCAUUCUUGCCAGAAAGUUCAGUCACUGAGCCACGGCAUUAACUUGUAUUCUAACAAGAUUAAAAUAUAUUCGUCCUGGGGAUUAGCAUAGUUAGGUGUCCUUUUGCCUCUUUUUUUCCUGCACUGGUGCGGUGACAGUGGGCUUUGAUCUGUGUUGCGAGGCAAGAGUCCUGGCUUGGACCUAGCCAUUCGAGUGCCAAGUGUGAAAUUGGCCUGAUGUCAUCCCCAUUCUUCACCUUUUACAUCUUUCACCACUUUAAUUAUGUUUCCGCCACAAAGCCUAGGCACCUCUGAGCAGAUUCCACUCUGGCCGUAGGAAGCAUUUAGAAACUGGGUAAAUGACACAGUAGGGGAGGGGGAGGAUGGUAGGAGAGGUCAUAGCAGGAUGGGGCCCUUUUGUGUUUAGAGGUAGACAUUGAUACUUUCCUGAUGUAUCCUGUGCUCACUUCCAUUUUUUACAGCAUGAGAACUUUGUGAAAUUGUCAGCAAUACUCCCGAAAAUAACUUUUAUUCCAGGCAUUUUUACCACUUCUGCAUCCUAUUCCAAAGGAAAUGUGCAUUUCUCAGUGUUAUCUCUUCAGAUUACUGAUGAUUUAUGAUGUCAUUUAUUAUGUUUCCACAGCAAUGGAGACGUUUUUGGUCGCGUGAAGCUGUUAGAGGCCCCAAACAAGGACCACUUCUGGUCACUUUACCACCUGAAUCUCACUUUUCCUGAUGAGACAAAUUAUUCUCCGAUAAAAAGCUGUUGUUCCAGGAGGCUGUGCCCGUGCAGCUGUAUAGCUCCAGCUAUUGUUCAUGCAUUGGUGUCCCUAUCUGAACUUCAGGGAGCUUCUCUGCCGGUGAAUAUUUUGAUGAAGGUUCCUAUUGAUGCGCUGAAUGAAGGACCAAAACAACAGUGUGUGUGUCUCUCUUUCUCUCACCCCCUCCCUCCCCUCCCCUCUCACUCUCUCCUUUCGACUCCCAUUCCUGCCUUGUGAUAGAAGCACAGGCUCUUUUCAGAAGCGGCGAGGAAGACUGACCGUCGUGGAGACAGUGCUGGGAGCAGCCCUAUCUGCUCUAAUGCUAGUCACUGGCCGUUAGACAUGGCGUUCAAAGACUAGCGGUGCAAGUAUGGAAAUGCAGAUAAGGCAUUGUUGAGGAAACAUGCCUGGGAAUUGUUCAAGGCUUUCCCUUGCAUAAUGUUUGGAUGCUUUCGCAAAUGUUUUAAUCUGAAAACCCAUGAAUUUGAUCCUCCGUGAAUGUGAUGCAGAACCGCCCAUAGAAUGAGUGGGCGUUUGCAUGCAAAGGAUUGUCAUGCUAUGCAAAUUAAUAUUAAUUGUGAUUGCAUUUGUGAAUAUUUGACAUCUGGCAGCAUUUAUUUAAAACUAUUUUUGUAUAUAUUUCUCUUUUCAAGACAAUUGUAUCCAGUAUUGCAUUUGUAUUUUCUAGAUUAUAAUGCCUGCAGAAGCUCUACAUUGAUUGAAGGUCACGCUUAUUGCUUCAGCCAGGCCUUAUUUUUUUCCUGUGUUUUUACAUCAACUUUUUCUUCACAUAAAGAUGCUAGAGACUUGUUUGUGUAUAAUCUUCAAGGUUUAUUUACUCUUCUUUUGCAGUUUUCAGGAGGCAGUUAAUUACACAAUUAAUACAUGAUACAAAUUAUGUACAUUUAUACCAAAGAAUACUUCCAACAUAAAAUAAAAAAUAGCAUUGUAUUCUACAACUCUGUGUUGUAAUUUUAUUUAAACAUGUUCAUAUAUAGAUAGAUAU